UCGCUAUCUUAACGGAAUUCCUGUGCAGUACGAGAGGAACCACAGGUACGGACCACUGGCUCAAUACUAGUCCGACCGGACUUUGGUAUGACGCUACGUCCGCUGGAUUAUGCCUGAACGCCUCUAAGGUCGUAGCCAAUCCGAGCUGAUAGCGCUUCUCAAACCCAUUAGGUGUUCGGAAGCUAGCGGGCCUAACAACCCUCUGAGAUCCGUUGGAGUCUGCGUCUGCAGCCCGGCGUCUCAUCCCGCUAUACCUAGGCCGCAACGAGUGGAGUUCGCUGCACGUGUUAGUACCGUAACUGGGAACGCCGUUGGCUUGAGCUCUGCCCAACGUGGAUAUACCUAGUUUCGACACCUAUCAACCGCCCGCAAACGACGGGACUUCAGGCUGGGAGCUGCGAGUUGUAGAGAUGCGUUCGCAUCGAUCCUCUCAGGCGACCCAUGCUUGGUGGUUUG
rnacentral:rRNA from 1 species